GGCGGCGUGGAUUAGGCAUGCAAGUCGAGCGGGAUCUUUGGAACCGAUUCUUCGGAUGAAGUUCCUUAGUGAGAGCGGCGAACGGGUGAGGAAUACUUGGGUAAUCUACCUUCAAGUUCGGGAUAGCCACUGGAAACGGUGGGUAAUACCGGAUGUGGUCGAUGAUCGCAUGUUCAUUUGUCUAAAGGGGGGGCUCCUUCGGGAACCUCUCGCUUGAUGAUGAGCCCAAGUCCUAUCAGCUUGUUGGUGAGGUAAUGGCUCACCAAGGCUUCGACGGGUAGCUGGUCUGAGAGGAUGGUCAGCCACACUGGGACUGAGACACUGCCCAGACUCCUACGGGAGGCUGCAGUCGAGAAUCAUUCACAAUGCGCGAAAGCGUGAUGAUGCGACGCCGCGUGAAGGAUGAAGGCCUUCGGGUUGUAAACUUCUGUCAGGAGGGAAUAAAUGUAUACGUGCUAAUACCACGGAUACUUGACGGUACCUCCAGAGGAAGCCACGUCUAACUCUGUGCCAGCAGCCGCGGUAAUACAGAGGUGGCGAGCGUUGUUCGGAUUUACUGGGCGUAAAGGGUGCGUAGGCGGUUUCGUGUGUCGGAUGUGAAAGCUCACGGCUCACCCGUGAAAUUGCAUUCGAAACUGCGGAACUCGAGUAUCGGAGAGGUAGGCGGAAUUCUUGGUGUAGCGGUGAAAUGCGUAGAUAUCAAGAGGAACACCGGCGGCGAAGGCGGCCUACUGGACGAAUACUGACGCUGAGGCACGAAAGCUGGGGGAGCGAAGAGGAUUAGAUACCCUCGUAGUCCCAGCCGUAAACGGUGUGCACUUGGUGUAGGCAGCUUUAUCCCUGUCUGUGCCGGAGCUAACGCGUUAAGUGCACCGCCUGGGGAGUACGGUCGCAAGAUUAAAACUCAAAGGAAUUGACGGGGGCCCGCACAAGCGGUGGAGCAUGUGGCUUAAUUCGAUCCACGCGAAGAACCUUACCUGGGCUUGACAUGCCCGUCGUAUCCCUGUGAAAGCAGGGAGUCAGCUCGGCUGGACGGUGCACAGGUGCUGCAUGGCUGUCGUCAGCUCGUGCCGUGAGGUGUUGGGUUAAGUCCCGCAACGAGCGCAACCCUUGUCACUAGUUGCCAGCAGGGAGUGAUCCGCUGGGCACUUUAGUGAGACUGCCGGUGACAAGCCGGAGGAAGGUGGGGAUGACGUCAAGUCCGUAUGGCCCUUGUGCCCAGGGCUGCACACGUGCUACAAUGGCCAGUACAAUGGGCAGCAAUACCGCGAGGUGGAGCAAAUCCCCAAAACUGGCCUCAGUUCGGAUCGUAGUCUGCAACUCGACUACGUGAAGCCGGAAUCGCUAGUAACGGCGUAUCAGCUACGACGCCGUGAAUACGUUCCCGGGCCUUGUACACACCGCCCGUCACAUCAUGGAAGCUGACUGCACCCGAAGUCGCCGUGCCAACCCUUGUGGAGGCAGGUGCCGAAGGUGUGGUUAGUGACUGGGAUGAAGUCGUAACAAGGUA
rnacentral:rRNA from 1 species